CAUGGAGGGUGAGAAUCCCGUUCAUGGUUAAUUCUAAGAUACUUUAUGAUGCGUUUUCGAAGAGUCGAGUUGUUUGGGAUUGCAGCUCAAAAUGGGAGGUAAAUUUCUCCUAAGGCUAAAUAUUGGCGAGAGACCGAUAGCGAACAAGUACCGUGAGGGAAAGAUGAAAAGAACUUUGAAAAGAGAGUUAAACAGUACGUGAAAUUGUUGAAAGGGAAACGAUUGAAGUCAGUCGUACCAGCGGGAAAUCAACCUUUCGAGUGGGGGUUUUGGAGUUUUGAAGAGUGUUAAAACCUUUGAGAUUUCAAAAAUUUCGCUCUUUUGGUGUACUUUCUCGUGGGUAGGUUAACAUCGAUUUUGAUCAUCAUAAAAAGAUUGGAGGAAUGUAGCUUCGAUCUUGUAUUGAAGUGUUAUAGCCUUUGAUAAAUGUGAUGAUUAGGAUCGAGGAUUGCAACGAAUACCCUUUUGGGCUAUCCGCCUGAUCUCUGAUACGUGGCCUUGGUAUUGAAAGCGUGCUUAUGAUAUUAAGGUAUUACGGUCAAAAGGUUAGAACGGAUUACAUUCGUUAAGGAUGUUGACGUAAUGG
rnacentral:rRNA from 1 species